rnacentral:lncRNA from 1 species
AGGAUGUCAUCCCCAAGUCUGCUGGUCUUUUCUCCUUAUCCUCCUUCCCCAGUUCAUUGAGCUUGGGAGCAGGCACUUUGCCACCAAGUUAAGACCUCCAAUCAUUUCUUCUUCCUUUACCCCAUCCCUGGGCAGGGCCCCUGGUGUUUCUACGCUCCUCCCUUGAACAGCACACUUCUAAAGGGUUUCUCUCUAUCUGCAAAAGCCAGCAUCUGCCACAGAGCACCCAGACCGUGAAAGUUGAUGGAGGGCACGGACAUCCUGCAUGCCAGCCAGCCCAACUUGCCUGGGUGGCCAAGAAGGGGACAGACAUGUCAUGGCUCCUGAACUUUGGCUUUCUGGCCUUCCUCCCCUCAUCUUCCCGGUGCUGACCCUGCCGCCCUCUUCUACAGCUUCUAAGACCGAGACAAAGCCGCACUGACCCAAGCAGUCCACGACCAGCCAGCUGCCCCCAGACACAGUUCCCUCACUCCUGGUCGGAAGACACUUGAAUACAGAUUCUGCGCUGGCAGAGGAGUGCCGGCGCCUCCAGCUCCCUCAGCUCAGGACCUCUCCCCUGGCAGGAGCAGGGGGUGGAAAGCGUGCGAGCACGCUGGAGCUGAGGAAGCAGCAGGAAGGAGGGGUGUGUGCCAGUGCCAUAGACUCGACCAGGGCCUUCCACGUGCCUUCGCUCCUGUCACGGUCACGUAACCUUCUGAGGUGAGCACUGUCAUCCCACUUUCCAGAAGAGAUGCCUAAGGCUCAAGCCCUACCUGGAAGAUUAGGAAGCCCCCGCCGGACCCCCUUCCUGGUUGACGAUGACAUUCAUUCCAGUAACUGGCUUCGCCCCCUGGCUACAGUUGUUUGGAUAGUGGAGAGCACAUGACUCAAGAUGAACCAAUCAGAGUUGUCCUCCCACUAAUGUGUGCAAUUCAUAAUCAGCCGCACUGGGGAAGUUGGAGACUGGACUAUCAUCUGAUGACAUGUGCCAAAAGACAGAUAAAAACAAGAGACAGGACCAGGCAUGGUGGCUCACGCCUGUAAUCCUAACACUUUGGGAGCCUGAGGUGGGUGGAUUGCUUGAGGCCAGGAGUUCAAGACCAGCCUGAGCAACGUGGCAAAACCUCGUCUCUACUAAAAAUACAAAAAUUAGCCGGGCGUGGUGGUGCACACCUGUAAUCCCAGCUACUGGGGAGGUUGAGACACAAGAAUCACUUCAGCCUAGGUGGCAGAGAGUGCAGUGAGCCGAUAUCACACCACUGCACUCCAGCCUAUGGACAGAGUGAGACCCUGUCUCAAAAAAAUAAAUAAAUAAAAAUUUUUGAAAAAAUAAAAUAAAACAAACAAGCAAACUAACAAAAACAAGUGAGAGAAAGAGAGACGAUUAAGCACAAGCCCAGAGAAAUCCAAACAUGAAAGACUGUCUGGCUCCAGGGAGCGUGAGACUGAGAUAGGGUGACUGCUUUGAUUCUUGGUGGCCUCCCAGUCCCUUGUGAGAGCUACUGCUUUCCUGCGAUGGCCUCUGCCUCCCUGCAAAAAAAAAUUCUCUGUUUUUGUUUUUAUUUAUUUAUUUUUUGAGACAGAGUCUCGCUCUGUCACCCAGGCUGGAGUGCCAUAGCGCAAUCUCGGCUCACUGCAACCUCCCCUUCCCGGAUUCAAGCAAUUCUCUUGCCUCAGCCUCCUGAGUAGCUGAGAUUACAGGCACACGCCACCAUGCCCAGCUAAUUUUUGUAUUUUUUUUAGUAGAGACAGGGUUUCACCAUGUUGGUCAGGCUGGUCUCAAACCCCCACCUCAUGAUCCACCCGCCUUGGCCUCCCAAAGUACUGGGAUUACAGGCGUGAGCCACCACACCUGCCCAAAAUUCUCUAUUUUUGUUUAAGCCAACUUAGUCUCUGAUACUUGCAAAUAAAAUAAUCUUAAUUAAAAUACUCAGAAUGGUUAAGAGUCUUAACCAAGCAGUCAAGCCUAGAGCACAGACCAAUCUCCUCUAACUUCAAACCGCACCCUCUUGGCUGGCUGUGGGGAAAGUGGGGAUCUGAAGGGACCUAUGGCUCCUUCCUGUCCCCUUCCUAGGAGUGAGGAGUGGAGUCCUAAAAGCAGAGCCUGCAAUGAGAUGUGCAGACCAACACCUGCUCUCUGUGUCCUAGACCCAUUUGAAUCUGAAAUCCCAAACCAGAGUCAAGUUUCAUUCCAUGAAUACCUAUUUCAGCCACUCUCAGAGUGCCAGCCCCACUCCACAAUGGGACAGUGAUUCCCAGCUUCCCUGUGGAAUUGUCUUCUAACCAGUUUUGUUUGGAUUGGGUUUACCGGUAGAGAUAUGAUUCUAAACUUUUCAUUGGCAUGCCUGGAACAACCCAGCACUCACACACACCCACACUCCCAGAUCUGAAGACCUUCUUCAUCUGCCAUAAAACAGAACAUCACCUUUUCCUUGGCUGAAUGCAGCAUCCAACACACUGGAGGUCCAGCUGAUAGCAGGGAGGCAACAUUGUUCCCCAGGUUGUCCACCAAAGGGUGGGUAUGGGAGGUCCUCAG